CCAGUGGAACCUCUGCAGUCUCCAGUGGCAACACCUCUGGUGUGUCCCAUGGUCCCCAACCAUCUGGCAACAUUUCAUCCAGCACAUCCUACAGUACAUACCUGGACCUAUUUGAGGAAGAAUACCUCUCUGAUGACCAUGAUCUCCAGGAAGCCAUUUCAAGGUCUUUAGAUUCCAGUUCAAGUGAGAGUGAUUUAAAGGUGACGUUGGAGAGAAUAAUGGAGCGGAUUGCUUCUCG